UACGUAGGGGGCGAGCGUUGUCCGGAUUUAUUGGGCGUAAAGAGCUCGUAGGCGGUUUGGUAAGUCGGGUGUGAAAUCUCCACGCUCAACGUGGAGGGGCCACUCGAUACUGCCAUGACUCGAGUCCGGUAGAGGAGUGUGGAAUUCCCGGUGUAGCGGUGAAAUGCGCAGAUAUCGGGAGGAACACCCGUAGCGAAGGCGGCUCACUGGUCCGGUACUGACGCUGAGGUGCGAAAGCGUGGGGAGCGAACAGG
rnacentral:rRNA from 1 species